rnacentral:rRNA from 1 species
AACGUAGGAGACAAACGUUAUCCGGAGUUACUGGGCGUAAAGGGCGUGCAGGUGGUCUGUUAAGUCUGGCGUGAAAGCUCCUGGCUAAACCGGGAGAGGUCGUUGGAUACUGGCGGACUAGAGGACGGUAGAGGCGUGUGGAAUUCCGGGUGUAGUGGUGAAAUGCGCAGAUAUCAGGAGGAACACCAAUUGCGAAGGCAGCUCGCUGGGACGUUACUGACGCUGAGACGCGAAAGCGUGGGGAGCAAACAGG